GUCUGAUGUCGAGGCCUUCCCUAUAGAUGGUAUGCUUUUAAAAUUGUUUUAAAGCUGAAUCACAAUGUCAUUGUGCACUUAUCUUCAAAACACCAGUUUAUAAUCCUGAAUGUCAUCUUGUUGUGAUUUGUUUUUCUGUAGAUUCCAGAGACUCUGUGAGGCCACUAUUACAAGGCAAGUUCGAACAUCUUGGAAUUUCAGAUUUUACAUGGUAUAAAUGGUAAAUGGCCUAUAUUUGUACAGCACUUUAACUAGUCCCUAAGGACCCCAAAGCGCUUUACACAUUCAGUCAUCCACCCAUUCACACACACAUUCAUGCACUGGUGAUGGCAAGCUACAUAUACAAAUAUCAUAUAUAUGUGACAGGCAAAAACUAGCAAACACUUUUAGCAGUUAAAACAACUAAUACUUGAAUGCAGAAUGUUACACCAUCACUUAUGGAUAUAUUAGUUUUUCGCCUCACAGUACUUAAGCCAUUAAUCUUUCUGGAAUUGUUCUUUGAAACAGAUGCGACCUCACAAAAGAUAUUAACUAUGCUGUCAGACCUGACGAGAUCUCUUAACGAACUCCGUGAGGUCAGAGCCAUCCGCAAUACCGGCUCCAGUGAAUCGGUAGAUGCUGGGGUACUCCCUUUGGAUUUGCCCUUGCACAACAUUGAGGAGCUAAACAAUGCAGAGGCAGCUCUUCAAUCGCAAGAGGCAAAUAAGGCAAUGGUGAGACGCUUUGCCUUGAUUGGAGGGACCACACUGGAGGUGCGAGUCCGCCGUGUAAUGGCUUAUGCCAUCACAAACGAGCUGGCCUCGGUACUAAACUGGGCAGGGAAAAAAACAAAGGACCAGACGAAGCAAAAAAGGGGAUUUAAAGAUACUGCGCUGUGCAGAUGCAUAUUUGUAAGUUUUACCGUUUAUUGUAGUUUUAGGAGCCUAAAGUGAACAAUAAAGGGAUCGAUUGAUCUGCUGGGUGUGUUUCACAUGUCCUAUGUCCGGUUUUUGCUAUAUUACUUUGUCUUUUUUAAUAACAAGACUUUCAUGUCUGGUUAAUCUGGAGAUGGAGUCUUUGGUCUUUGGCUUGUUUAGUCCUCGGGUUGUAGUUUGUACAGCCCGAGGACCCCAUGUUUAUUUUGUUUUAAAGGAUGCACGGCACACCAUGCUAAGACUUAUCAGUUUUUCCACUCAUAGCUCUUUGGGAAUCAAAUGCGGCAGUUUGCAUUUUUACGCCUGGUGACUUUCAUGUUUAUCAGCCUAGGAGUUUACAUACUUUCUCCCUGCUGAAGACAGAUAACAAGAGCUUAUUCAUGUGCUCUAAUUCACUUUUUUUGUUUGUGUGUGUGUGUGUGUAUUUUUGUCCUAGAUGGCCUGACGCAGCAGUUAGGGGCAAACUCUAUGUCAGAGUUUGUCUUUGCACAGGCAGUGCAGAAAUGGCUCCGAUACGCCCCAGACCGCUUGGGUGGCGCAGGACGCACAUCAUCCGUCCCCAUCCCGGAGUAAAAACUACAAAGUUAUGUUAAAAUAUAAAUGUAAAUAGAAAACUGUGUUUUAAUAAAGUAUUUAGCAAACGAAACAUGUCUAUUGACCUUUUUUUGUUUAGUUUUUUUUUUCUCUGUUACAUCACAUGCAAUGCUUUCUUAUUUUAGGAUAUUAAUAUUGACAUGAUACAUUGUGAGAAAUUUGAUUUUUAUAAAGGGUGUCCAGUUUGAGGAAUAAGUGCAAUUAUGUGUUUAGGUGGUUUAAGUAUUGAUGGAAAUAUGCAGUAGUUUAGUAUUGGUUAAAAUAACUAUAAAGAAAGGUAGAUUUCCAGUCAUGAUUUAACUUGUUUUAAUAAAAAACAACUGUGCGAAAGAGGUGGAAAAUCAACACCAUAGCUCAACAGUGUUUCUAUAUCAGAAUCUGACACUGUUUCAAUGUCAACAGUAUUAGAAAAUAUAACGUUGAAUCAAUGUCAGGUUUCAACAUUGAUUCAACAUCAAAACCUGACGUUGUUUCAACGUUAAAAAUGGGUGCAAGAGUGACGUUAGGUCAACGUCACACUUAUUCAAUGACGUCGCCUGAUAUUGACUCAACAUUGUUUCAAUGUUUCCUUGCUAUCUGGGAAGGUUAGCUCGGUUAGCAGGAUGCUAGCAUGUAGCGCUUAGUGAGACACGCUUCAGACGAGUUGAGCAAAGACCCCGUCUGUGUACUUUAUACGUGAGCAACGGAUUUAAAUAAAAUUGACGUUUCAAAAGACAAACUUGAAGAUAAAAAACAAUACACUUACCGGAGAACCGCCAGGGUUUGCCGCUGCCAUCUUGCCGCUCCUAAAUUCAAAACUGCCUCUGCAGACAGGCAGGGGAGGCGUGGAAAUUGUCUUUGAGUUAGUCAAAAGAAAAAUGAAUGGGAUUUUAAGUAGGACUAGGCGUUCUGUAAUGAUCUCUAUUUAGGAGAAAAAUUUAAUCACUCACCUUUAAACAGCUCUCUUUUCGGAGACACACUGCUGGCUAACGGUGUCAUGUGAUCAAACAGUGUAAUUUUAUUGGCUGAGAGCCGCUCGACUCGAUCUAGUGCUGAUUGCUCUGGCUUGGGUCAUUCAAGUUCAUCACUUUUGCAGUUGAAUUUUUGCAGGUGAAAUUUUGCAGGUGAAUUUUUUGCAGGUGAAUAUUUGAUGGUGAAUUUUUUGGAGUUGAAUUUUUUGCAGGUGAAUUUAUGCAGGUGAAUAUUUUUACAGGGAAAUUUGGAGGAUAAAAAUUCAGUGUUAUAAAUUCAAUGUCUAAAAAUAGUGGAAUUCUGAUGAUAAUGUAUUUCUUCAAUAAUGGUUGCAUAAUAUUUUAAUAAUAUACAAUUAUUUUUUGUAAUUCAUAUUUUUUCAUUUAAUCAAAAAUUUAAUUUGUGAAAUUUGUAUUUGAGAAUGAAGAAUGUGACAAUAUAUUUUUGUUCAAUAUUUAAUUUCUUUCAGUUGCAAUUGUUAAAUAAAAAAAUAUUCUUAUAAUUUAGCAAACUAAUUUAUCAAAAAAAUAUACUGUAUAUACAUAUAUCCGUAUUAGUUUUAAUAAAUUAAUUUGACACCUGUAUUGAAAAUACCAUAUUGUAUUCAUACAGAAUCAAUAUGGUAUCAUUGUUUGUCUGUUCACUGAUUGCUGAAACUAAGAGCUAGUUUGAUCUGUUUAGAUCUAAAGUAUCCAAACUCGAGCUCUAAUGUUUCUUCACCCUUGUGUGUGUGAUAUCUGAUUUCCUGCAUGCUGGCAGAGCAGCAGUUUGUGCUAACAGAUGGAGACGGUGUGGAGAGACGGUGGUGUUUCCUCAGAAGAACUAGCAGAGUCACCAAGGACACCAGUCCAUCUCACCACCUUGACUUGCUGACUGAUGCUGAUGCUCGUCUGCACUGCACAGAGGAAAUCAACUGACCGAGGUCUGUCCAGUGCAGUGUUAUGAAAUGUAUAUUUGUUUCAUGCUUACAGAUAUGUUUUUCUUGACAGAGGCUCUGCAGAGGUUAGACAAAGCAGAGAAAAUAUGUGCUUUACAUUUUACUGUGAUUUACUGGGAUAUUUGUUGGCUGAUGUUCAGCAGGAAUGGAGAAAUGGAAUCAAAGGGAGAUGUUUUUGUAAUGAUGUAAGUAAAUCUUCAAUAUUAUUUAUUUGCUUGGUUAUAUUAGGAGUGUUUCUGAGUGAGGGAGAGAGGAGUCAUCAUCCAGGUAAAGUGACGUGGAUCAGUGGAUACACUUGUCUCCCCUUUAAAGGAGAUACUCUUAGAGAGAGACAAUCCGAGUCAUCCUUAAAUGUUAGUGCUUUCAAAUACACAAACAUUUUUAAAGGACAAAAACAAACAUCCAACUUUGACUGUAACACAAAAUAAAUCUUUGCAUGUGUGUUUUCAAACUCUCAGAUGGGCAGGAUAUCAGUCUUGGACUGUCUAACCUCCCGGAGCAGCACUGAAUGAUCACCACACAUGAGCAUGUUCCUGCAACAUUCAGCAUCUGAUCCUUGUUCAUCUGUGUGCUUCUGCUUUUGGUAAAUAGAGUUACCUAACUACAGUAACUAAACACAUGCCAUCCAUUUCUAACGUCCUGGUUACUUCCUGUCAGUUAUUUUAGAAACCAUGUGGUCACCUGACCUAACACUGUUUCUUCUUCUUCCCUUUAAUGUUGAAGUGUCAAAUGUCCAACAGCUGGAGAGGAAACUAAACCAGUGUACUGGGAUGUUUCAUCAACAUGUGCCAGACGCUGUUCCUUCAUGGGGACAUCACCAGAGACAGCCCCGCCCACCUCAGGACCUCGCCAUUGAUCAUGAUGAUUAUAAUGAUGACAGCGAGCGGAACUAAGACUGUAAAAAUCUAUGACCAGAAUGUUUAGGUGCUUUCUAAUUAUUAAUGAAUACUGAGAGCCUCUUUCUGUGUUUUGUCUGUUUUGAUUUUUUUACCUCAUUUGUUUCUAACAAAGUUCCCCAAACUCACACAGUUUACAUUCUGUAUGCGUUUCCAUCUUUACCAGCCACACUCUAACUGCCUUUAGGAAAACAAACCAUAGAAAUCGUCGUUUUUCUCUUUUGUAAUUGAUGAUAAUUCAGUGAAUAUAUUGCGCUGCUUCCUUUUAUUGCGUCACACAUUGCUUUACGUUUUUCAGUGUCCAGUUAUUUUUUACUGCUGUUUGAAUUCUCUGUAUGUUUAACCCUAUAGACUGUGUAAUGGACUGCUUGUCGCCCUGUUUGUAACCGCCGCCUGCUUUUGACUAAAGAUUUGGAUUUCUGACUUUAACACAGCCUCUGUGUGUCCUCCCUUUGUG
ensembl:lncRNA